rnacentral:lncRNA from 1 species
UCUCAGCAGCUGCUGAGGAUGCUUUUGUCCCAGGGAUUUCCUUUAUGUCUCUCUUGUAGCAUAAGUGGCCUGCAACCCUUUGCUAACACAAGAAAGUGGCCUUGAGGAAGCUGACAGGCUUCAGAGCUGGGUGUUUAUGGAUUUUGUAUUUGCCCAUGUUUAAUGAGCUUUACAACACUUCCAUCAGAGAACAUCACUUGCGCCAAGCAAACAAUCACUGGAACAUUUAUUACAGUGUUUUACAUUGCAAUUAACCUCACAAAAUUGUAAAAUGUGAAUAAAAAAGGAAAGUUAGUGUUCCUUGAUUAGCUUUUAAAUCACAUAUAAUAAUACUUUUUGAAUGUUCCCUAUUCAGAGAAACAAUAAGCAGAAAAAUGUAUAAAAAAAUUAUUUAGGUUCUUGUUUGAAAAAUAAUAAAAUAAAUUAUUACAAUGAAACCUUUUUAUUAUUUUUUCACUUAACUGAUUUUAUGCUUCUAAAACAAAAUAUUGAGUAGUACACAAGUGUUAAAUCUUAAGUUGUGGAUAUAGAAUAAGUUAUGAAUUAGCUAUCCAUUGCUGCAAAAUGAAAGACCCCAAAAUUUGACUUAAAAUAGCAAAUAUUUAUUAUGCACAGAUUAUGGGUGUUAGGAAUCCAGGUGUACCUCGGCUGGAUGUUUCUGACUCAGGGUCAUGGUAAGGUUGCAGACAUGGCUUCAGCUGGGACUGCAUCUGAAGACACAUUUACUCACUGGCCUGGUGGUUGAUGCCUCAGUUUGCUGCCUUGAGCUGUCUCCAUAGGGAUGCCUUGAGUGUUCUGAAGACACGGUGGUUGCUUUCCCCAAAGUGAAUAAUGAGAGAGAGAACAAAACAGAGAGAGAGAGAGACAGGGAGACAGAGAAACAAGAUGGGAACUUCAGGCUUCAAAAUCUAAUCUGAGAGGUGACAUAGACCACCUCUCAGUUUUAUUAGAGUAUGUUUAGAAUAGACACUUAACUAUGAUUGAGCAAAGAUGUGGUCAUAACACCUGGCAAUAUAUCACUUUGCCUCCAUUUGCUUUGUCUAUUUGUAUCACGCAAUCCAUUUAUUUACCUUGAACUAAAAAUAAUAACAGAAUAUAGACUCAGUUUAAAUGUGACAUUUAUCAGGAAUGGAUUAAUUUACUAAAUCUUCUUGGCUAGUGAAGUGAGCUUGCUUUCUUCAAUAGUGUGUUUUAAAGUAGUUUUUAUUUUAGUGAAAUAUAUGUGGCAUAAAAUUGCCAUUUAACUAUUUUUAAGCACAGUUCAGUGGUAUUAAUUAUAUUCACAAUGUUGUGCAACCAUCACCACUAUCUAUGUACAAAAUGUUUAUAUUACUCCAAACAGAAACACUAUAACAUUAAGCAAUAACUCCCCAUUCCCUGUUCCUUCAGACCCUAGUAAGCUCUAAACUUCUAUGAACUGGCCAUUUAAAAUAUUUCCUAUACAUAGAAUUAUAUUUGUCCUAUUGUGUCUAGCUUCACUUAGCAUAAUGUUUUUAAAGAUCAUCCAUGUUGCAACAUGUAUCAGAAUCUAAUUUUUUUUAUUGUUGAAUGCUAUUCCAUUGUGCAUACAUACUACACUUUAUUUAUCCAUUCAUCUGUUGUUUCCAGUUUUUGGCUUUUGUGAAUAGUACUAUAAUAAACAUACAAGUGUCUGUUUGAGUCUCUAUUUUCAAUUAUUUCUAGUGUAUAUACCUAUGAGUGGAAUUACUGUGUUAUAUGGUAAUUCUGUUUACUAUUUUUUAACACUGCCAAACUUUUCCACAGAGGUUACACUGUUUUACACUCCCAUCAGCAAUGAAGGAAGUUUCCAACUUCUCCAUAGCUUAAUACUUGUUAUUCCCCAUUUUCAAAAAUUAUUUUCAACCUUGUAAGUAUGGCAUGAUACAUCAGCAAGGUUUUGAUACGCAUUUCCAUAACGACUAAUGAUGUUGAGCAUUUUAAUGUGCUUAUAAGCUAUUUACAUAGCUUCUUUAAAUAAAUGUCUAUUCAAAUACUUUGCCUAUUUUAUAAUUAGAUUGUUAUUGGUGUUGAGUUGAAGGGAUUCUUUGUACAAUCUGGAUGGAUCAUUAUCUCUUAUCAAAUGUAUAAUUUGCAAAUAUUUUCUUUAUUUUGUAAGUUUUUUUUACUUUCUUCCUAAUGUUCUUUAAUUUGCAAAUAUUUUUGUUCAUUUGUUGUCAUUUAUAAAGCCCUAUUUAUUUGUUUUUUUCUUUUGUUGCUCAUGCUUUUGUCAUAUCUAAAAAUCUAUUGUCAAAUUCAAAGUAAUUAAUAUUUACCUCUAUAUUUUCUCCUAACAGUUUAGGGUUAGCUUUUAUAUUUAGGAGAUUGAUGCAUCUUAAGUGAAUUUUCAUAUAUGUUUGAGAUAGGAGUCUAGUUUUAUUAUUUUGCAUGUGAAUAUCCAGUGGUCCU